CCCGCUGAACUUAAGCAUAUCAAUAAGCGGAGGAAAAGAAACUAACAAGGAUUCCCCUAGUAACUGCGAGUGAAGCGGGAAAAGCUCAAAUUUAAAAUCUGGCGGUCUUUCGGCCGUCCGAGUUGUAAUCUGGAGAAGCGUUUAUCCGUGUUGGACCGUGUACAAGUCUUCUGGAAGGGAGCGUCAUAGAGGGUGAGAAUCCCGUCUUUGACACGGACUACCAAUGCUUUUGUGAUGCGCUCUCGAAGAGUCGAGUUGUUUGGGAAUGCAGCUCAAAAUGGGUGGUAAAUUCCAUCUAAAGCUAAAUAUUGGCGAGAGACCGAUAGCGAACAAGUACCGUGAGGGAAAGAUGAAAAGCACUUUGGAAAGAGAGUUAAACAGUACGUGAAAUUGUUGAAAGGGAAACGUUUGAAGUCAGUCGCGUCGGCCGAGACUCAGCCUUGCUUCCGCUCGGUGCACUUCUCGGUUGACGGGUCAGCAUCAAUUUUGCCCCUCGGAUAAUGGCAAGGGAAAGGUGGCACCUUUGCGGGUGUGUUAUAGUCUUUUGUCGCAUGCGAGGGGCGAGAUUGAGGAUCUCAGCACGCGCACCUUUGGGUGUGUCGGGGCCUCGGCCCACGCCACGUGCUUAGGAUGCUGGCAUAAUGGCUUUAAACGACCCGUCUUGAAACACGG
rnacentral:rRNA from 1 species